rnacentral:rRNA from 1 species
AUUGCCCUAGUAACGGCGAGUGAAGCGGCAACAGCUCAAAUUUGAAAUCUGGCGUAAGCCCGAGUUGUAAUUUGUAGAGGAUGCUUCUGGGUAGCGGCCGGUCUAAGUUCCUUGGAACAGGACGUCAUAGAGGGUGAGAAUCCCGUAUGUGACUGGCUUGCACCCUCCACGUAGCUCCUUCGACGAGUCGAGUUGUUUGGGAAUGCAGCUCUAAAUGGGAGGUAAAUUUCUUCUAAAGCUAAAUACCGGCCAGAGACCGAUAGCGCACAAGUAGAGUGAUCGAAAGAUGAAAAGCACUUUGGAAAGAGAGUUAAAAAGCACGUGAAAUUGUUGAAAGGGAAGCGCCCGCAACCAGACUUUGCGGCGGUGUUCGGCUAGUCUUCUGACCGGUUUACUCGCCGCCGUGAGGCCAUCAUCGUCUGGGACCGCUGGAUAAGACCUGAGGAAUGAUGCUCCCUUCGGGGUGUGUUAUAGCCUCUGGUGAUGCAGCGCGUCUCGGGCGAGGUCCGCGCUUCGGCAAGGAUGAUGGCGUAAUGGUUGUCGGCGGCCCGUCUUGAAACACGGACCAAGGAGUCUAACAUCUAUGCGAGUGUUCGGGUGUCAAGCCCCUACGCGUAAUGAAAGUGAACGGAGGUGGGAACUUUUAGUGCACCAUCGACCGAUCCUGAUGUCCUCGGAUGGAUUUGAGUAAGAGCAUAGCUGUUGGGACCCGAAAGAUGGUGAACUAUGCCUGAAUAGGGUGAAGCCAGAGGAAACUCUGGUGGAGGCUCGCAGCGGUUCUGACGUGCAAAUCCAUCCUCAAAUUUGGGGUAUAGGGGCGAAAAGACUAAUCGAACCAUCUAGUAGCUGGGUUCCUGCCGAAGUUUCCCU